GUGACAGUGUGACACAGUCUCUCUCUCUUUCUCUCUCUCUCUCUCCUUUUCUCUUUCUCUGUCUUUCUCUCUCUUCCUCUUUUUUCUUCUCUUUCUUACUUUUUAGGACUUUUGGCCACCUGAAGCCAAGAUUCUUAGUUGCCGUGUCUAGCUGGGAAGGGGGAAAGGGAGAGGAAGAAAGAGACCAGUGCCUUUGGACAAUAGCUUCUCUCUGGGACAGCCCCCAUGACAAGGAAACUUGUUUAUACUGGCAGAUAUCCUUGUGGCUCUCGUCUGACCUGUGUCCAGUUUAGGCCUGUCUGGCCAUGGCUCUGGCUCUGAGAGCCUGGCGUUGUGCUCUCCCUUGGCGUCCGAGGGAAAAUCUGUCCUGGAUCAGUCUCCGGUUCUUUGGACGGAAGGUGCAAAUUUAAUAUGCUACCACAAUAGUGAGAAAUCUCAAAUCCACUAAGGUGUAACUGCUGGCUCAAGAAGUGCAUAUUGC